ACCUCCUUAGCACAGUAGGCAGUGUGUCAGUCUCAUAAUAUGAAGGUCCUGAGUUCAAGCCUCAGAGGGGUA
rnacentral:tRNA from 1 species